GAUGAACGCUGGCGGCGUGCCUAAUACAUGCAAGUCGAGCGAACGGACGAGAAGCUUGCUUCUCUGAUGUUAGCGGCGGACGGGUGAGUAACACGUGGAUAACCUACCUAUAAGACUGGGAUAACUUCGGGAAACCGGAGCUAAUACCGGAUAAUAUUUUGAACCGCAUGGUUCAAAAGUGAAAGACGGUCUUGCUGUCACUUAUAGAUGGAUCCGCGCUGCAUUAGCUAGUUGGUAAGGUAACGGCUUACCAAGGCAACGAUGCAUAGCCGACCUGAGAGGGUGAUCGGCCACACGGGAACUGAGACAGGGUCCAGACUCCUACGGGAGGCAGCAGUAGGGAAUCUUACGCAAUGGGCGAAAGCCUGACGGAGCAACGCCGCGUGAGUGAUGAAGGUCUUCGGAUCGUAAAACUCUGUUAUUAGGGAAGAACAUAUGUGUAAGUAACUGUGCACAUCGUGACGGUACCUAAUCAGAAAGCCACGGCUAACUACGUG
rnacentral:rRNA from 1 species